UCCAACUUUCACAUGCAGCAAUUAUGCAAAUGAAAAAUUUCAACUGAUCCACCGUCAAUAAUGCUACCCACUGUGACAUUUAUAACAUGUUUCACAGGGUUGUGCCAACUGCUACGAAAUUAUGGCCAGACCGGUGGCGAAACUCUGCGACAUCAACUAUACCAAAGAACUGUGGAAGGUUUUUAUUCGAGUGCAUCACAAAUGGAAGGAAGGUUGUAUCUAACAACAGGUAAAAAAAAUUCAGGAUUAGGAGUCAAUCCACAAGAUAUCCCAAGCUAUUCACUAAGUUUGCGCAAAACCAAUUAGCGACAAGAAAUCCUGUUCGAAAUGGGCAUGGCCUUGCAAUUUGUAGAAGCAGGUUUGUGAAUCACAUGGAAGGCCGUUUUUGGAUCGAAAGUGAGGGUAUUGGUAAAGGAUGUACAGUUAAUUUUAUUGUAAAACUUGGAAUCCAUGACGCUUCAAAUGAAUUUAAACUACCUUACAGUUACAUACCGCCGAAAGCUCUGGUAAAUCAUGGAUCUACAAACAUUGGCGGUCUCAAAAUUCUCGUCAUGGAUCAUAAUGGGUCAAACUUGUAAUGCAGGGUGAGCAUGUCAGCCACAAAGGGGCUUCUUAUACAUUUAGGAUGCGACGUCACAACUUUAGCAACUGGAUAUUUAUAAUAUUUUUGACUUGUGAUGUGAUUUAAACUUGCAGCUCUCCAGUGACCCUAACAAAAGGCGGCUAGAUGCGGUUCGCACGUUGAUGGAAUCGUCUUCACACCCCCAACCAACUAUUAACAAUUCAAAAGAUAUCAGUAGACAGGGACAUCCUAACCCUGUAGUUUCCAAUCAUCUAAUAAAACCCUUGAAUUCAUACCAGUUGCUUUCUCAUUCGCCUGAUUCUCAAAUGCUACAGCAGAUGACUAGAUUUUAAUAAACCUGUCUAAUUCUGGUCUUCAUUCUACUAGGUUACACUUCCUGUAUGCUCUAGUAAGGUCUCUCUCUUCUUUGGUUCAUUAUGUUUCGAACUAAUCUAUUUAUUUUUGCUUACUGUUUCCAACAGGUCAGUAUAGUUCAAAGGAUGUAUAAUUAUUGUAAUCUAGAUUUUCUCUUUCUCAACUUUGCACUUUCAAAGGACUGGAUUAAUGUUUUUAUAUACACUAUUAUAUUGUUAUUAUAGUAGUAUAAAUGAAAAUGCAAAGUUGAAUUGGUAUUCCUCAUCUAUUUUAAUCUGAUCCGAUCAGGUGAGUUACUUCCUUUCUAUUUCUUCUCACCAUUUUAUUUUUCUUGACAACAUAGCUUUCUAAUCUGUUUUUUCUGUCAUGCUUGACUAAACAGGCUCCGACUGAUCAAGUGAAGCCUCUCUAUCUGCAAUAUGCUAAACUGGAGGAGGAUUAUGAACUAGAAAAGCAAGUUAUGAAGGUUUAUGAUCAAGUCACGAAGGCUGUUCCAAUAUACUACAAAUGCAAGCAAUAUUUCAGUUUGGUAGGGGUGAAGUGUAUUGACUUUGAGAGUUGUGAUAUUGAUAGUACUAAAAGUGGAUUAUUGGCAGAAAGUUACAGCAGACUCAUUGUUGCUCUUUCUGUGAAGCAUGAAUGUUUUGAGCCCCUAAAGGAACCCUCCUCUGGCAGAGAUCUGGUGGAAGAUGUUAUAUUCAGCCGAUGGUCAGUGAUUCUUAUCCAUGAAAAUAUGUUCACGGUGUUUUAGUAGAAUACAUUUGUAUAUUUGUGUUAUUGAUAGUGAUAUAAACCUAUUAUUCAUAGUAAUAUAUUUAUUAAUUGCAGUCUUCCGAUACUACAUCUGCUAUUCUCACCUUUGCUAAGAUGUUCAAUUGGAAAAACUUCAUAGUUGUGAUAGGAGAGUGUCAUUUAAAAUAUCACAGUUCUUAUAGGAAACUUGCAUUUAAAAAUAUUCAAUGGAUGUGGAGGAUUUUGGCCUUUAUAAAUUUAUACCAUUUACUGACAGAUUUUUGUUGUCCUUGGCCAUGGUAUUUGUCUCUAAAUUAUGUUAAUUAUCGUUUUACCCCUUGUCAUGUAUCUGAUGAUGUCUGUACAAGUGAAUUUUUCAGUUCAAAACUUAAUCGAAUGAAUUUCCGGGGUUUCUAUAUUGUACUUCUAGAGAAAGAUGGAGAGCUGGUCAGUGUGCCAACUAUUAGGUCGUCGAGUUGGGUUGCACGGUUAGAUUCAGUGGAAAUUCAGCAAGAGUUCAAAAUUACUGAAUGAUGAUAUGUAAGAUUUGAUACUGUCAGACUCAGAUUCAUCUUGCUACCAAUAUGUAGAUCAAGAGUCUUAUGGUAGUGGUCAUAAGGAGUCCUGUCGUAGGUGUUAACUCUGCAGUCACGGCGACAUCCAGGUAAAAGAUAGGCUAAAAGCAAAACUUAAAAUCUACUUGACUAAUAUAAUUAUGUUUAAUGUUGUCUGAUUUCUUUUGAAAUUUACAAUCUAUAAUGAUUUUCAUUGCAGAAGUAUCUAGGAGCAGAUAGCCUUUUUCUCCUUUUUGUGGCCAUUGCUUUAUUGUCUCUUUAAAUCAUCUGUGAUUUCAGCGCUGAUGUCAACGCUUAAGAUCGUUGGAAGAACACCAUAAUUCGAUUCUAAUUUUCUUUAAUUCUAUGUGGCUCUGUUGUAUGAUUGAUUUUGAAGGGUUAUUGAUGUCAUAAUUACAGUUAUCUUCCUAUUCCAUUUCCAAACAUAGUUGAUUUUUAAUAUGAAAUCACAAUGUUAGGAAGCAAACUAACUUGUGUUUUGCAUGUUAUGCUCCUCUGGAUUGCCUUAUUCUGGUUGGUAGGUUCUUGCAUAGUUCCUUUUUUAGCUUACACAGUAGGUUUUAGGAAGGAAACCCUUUCAUACAGAGGACAAGCAUUGUACAGUUUCUUGACGGAUGUUGCCGAAGGCGUGGUUGGGUUAGCUAUACUUCACCGUUGUCUUGCAAGGUUUAAACCACUCCCAGCUGAGAAAUAAUUAGCUUGGUUCCUAAUUUGUCUCAGAGUUAUCGAUAGCGGCGCUAUUCCGGGAGAGUGGUGCAGCACAAAGGCCGUCUACAAUCAGAAAAACCCUUCUUGAAUUUGUACUCUCUACGCCACAGGACAGAAAAACCCUUCUUACAUUUUCAGUAGCACUCAAGCAUGAACUCCAAAGAGUGAUUUCUGCAUGUCGAAAAACACGUGCAUGUGUCGAUCAAGUUUGCCAGAGCUUGAUACAUCAUGCUGUUAUUAUCAAUGAUGUGAGUAUCAUUUAACUACUUAUUCUAUACAUUGCCAAUUUUUAUGUCAUUUUAUUCUAUGGAAUUUACUCUCGUCUGGAUUCUAGGAUUGUGAUUAUAUUUGCAGCAUGGAUACGCCGCUAUUGAUUUACAGAUUCUUUGUCCUUAAAAAAUUGAGGACAUAUGCUUGAUGAAAUUUCUUUCCUCGGUCUUGCAGUACCCUUCUGAACUUACAUAUGAAUAUUUUGAUCAUUAACAAAAUAUAGCAACUUUAUUGACCAUCAACCUUACAACCUCAGUAUUCACAAGAGUUUACUUGCUUUCAUUAGUAUUUUGUUGAUAUGUGUUUUAUAUCAUUGAAGCACUGCUGAUUGAACUCCUGGAUUGUUUCAAUCAACAAGAAAGCGUGCAAGAACACCUACACCAGUGCACUAUUAUAUACCUAUUGGUUGUUUUCAAUAAAUAAUGAUGAUGCAGAUUUCCAAAACUGUCGUUCAUAAAAAGUCAUGGAAGAGUUGUGCAGGUCAUGUUCACAUCAGUCAACUCAUCUGGAGUUUAGAACUACCAAGACAACAGUCUGCCAAAGAACCUGAGCUUUACGAGUGUGAUCCAAUCAGAGUACAACACCAAGGAUGAAAAUGCGGAGUUCUAACCGAAGCACAGAACUCAAAUAGGACGAGAAAUGAAAACACUUUUUGCUGCCGAAACAAAUCAAUCAACCAGUUUGAAGAAUUUCCCAGAAAAUAAAAAUGGUGUUCUUCAGCAGCAAUGCCAUUUUCUUGCCAUAUCUCUGUCUCAGGCAUCUCCGACACCUGAAAUAUAUGUUCCCCAAUUGCAAGUUAGCUUAUGAAUACUUUUGGUAAUGAUGUCUCUCCUUGUCCCCUCAUCAUUAUGCUCUCUGAUGAUUGUAUUAUAUUUUGUACUCUGCAGAGUUUCAACUUUUUGUCCUUGUCGGCUGGAUGUAACGGGGUUGAAGGUUGAUGAUUGUUUAAUUUAAGGUGGAAGUAGGUUGGGACCAUUAUCAAAAUCACAAGUUCCUUAUUUUCGGUCUAUACAACAGCUGCACAGACUCAUGGCAAUACCUUCAACUUCAAAUCAGUAUACACCCACUUCUUACCUUGAUCAGCUUCCUACUACAGGACCACGGGUUUUAAUCGUUCUAACCAUAGACUCCUACGAUGUUGUAUUAGUGAACUACAACUUAUAGUGAUUUAUAUUAUUGUUUAAACAUGAAUGAGGCAAGCAGAGUUUAUUGUAUAUGAUAAACCUACCCCACAACACCAAAAAAGAGGGACAAUUUGCAGUUCAUAUAAUUGUUGUAGGCUUGUAUCACCUAAAGUUGUUGCUGAACAUUGCUAUGAUGUUGAUGUAGGGUGUUGGAUAUGUGACGAAUGUUGAAGGUUGCUGUGCGCGGUGAUGAGAUGUUGUAAAGCAAAGCUGGUUGAAGCGGUGUGGUUCAAUGAUGGUUUGAUGAUGUUGCGUGAUGGAGAAUACGUCGGCGUUACGUGGAUGUUUGGAUUGUGAAGUGAUGAGUUGAUCUGUGAUGAAAGUGGAUAAGAAGUUGCAGGAUGCAAUUGGUUCGAUGGAGAUUUGAAGGUGUAGAGGUUUUGGACCGUGGAUCUGUUUUGAGUUUGCUUGGUUGAUGAUGUGAACCAAUUGCAAUGGAUAGGUGAAGUUGAGUGAUCUACAAGUGGCUGAAUCGCAGAUGGUGAAUUAAAGGUAUGAAUUGGUUUCAAUUGGUUUAUGUUGAAGAUUGAGCAAUGAAGUGAGGAAGAAUUUACAUGGAGGAAGUUUUUUUGUGAAUUGAUUUUGGCAGCAUAACAGUGUUUCCUUCCUCCUUUUUUCUGUUGGGAGAUGUUGUUAUUAUAUAGGGGGAAAAUCUGAAAAUUGAGGGCAAAACAGAGAAGGAAAGUCUGUUAGAGUUAAGUGAGUUUGGAUGGGAUAUUCUUAGCAAUCUGUGUGAGCUUCUUUGUAUCAAUUGUAGACCUUUCAUUAAUUUGUAACAAAUGGUGAGGAUUGUAGUUGUUAUAAUUCUGUUAGAGAUUUGUAAUUUAAUGUGAAUUUAAAAUGAAAUAGAAAUUUGAAUUUGGAUGAAAA